CGAACGAACGUAGCGGCGCGCCUAACACAUGCAAGUCGUGCGAGAAGGGCGUCGGCCCGGUAAGCGGCGCACGGUGAGUAACACGUAGGCAAUCUGCCCUGAAGUGGUGGAUAACCCUCCGAAAGGAGGGCUAAUACAGCAUGAGACCACGGCGUCCACGGACGCUGCGGCCAAAGUGGGCCUCUCCAUGGAAGCUCACGCUUUGGGAUGAACCUGCGGCCCAUCAGCUUGUUGGCGAGGUAAUGGCUCACCAAGGCUAAGACGGGUAGCUGGUCUGAGAGGAUGAACAGCCACACUGGAACUGAGACACGGUCCAGACUCCUACGGGAGGCAGCAGUGGGGAAUCUUGCACAAUGGGCGAAAGCCUGAUGCAGCGACGCCGCGUGAGCGAAUGAAGGCCUUCGGGUUGUAAAGCUCUGUGGGGAGGACGAAUAAGAAUGGGCUAAUAUCCUAUUCGAUGACGGUACCUCCUUAGCAAGCACCGGCUAACUCUGUGCCAGCCGCCGC
rnacentral:rRNA from 1 species